GAUACAACUUAGAAAACGGGAUUCCUCAGGGUUCGCCUCUUUCGGUGGUUUUAUUUGUUAUCGCGUUUGACGAAAUAGUUACAGUUAGAACCAUCUUUAAAAAAAUCAUUGAGGACAUUGCUGUAUGGUCGCUCGAAUCUGGAGCGAUUAUAUCAUGCGAAAAAUCAAAUAUCCUUCAUAUUUGUCGGAGGAAGUGCUGUUCGGGUGUAAAACUGACUCACCAUAAUAUACCUAUAAGUAACGUGAGCCAAUUAAAAAUAUUUGGAAUUUUCUUUGAUUGUAAAUACACUUUUAAAUUUCAUUGCAAUUACAUUAGAAAUAAAUUAAUUAAUCGUCUUAGCAUUGUAAAAUACUUUUCAUCAAAAAAGUCCUUUGUACAUACUUCUACACUUUGUUACAUUGUUAAAUCGCUACUUUUAUCUGUAAUUGACUAUGCUUUACCAAUUUAUGGAAGCUGUGCCAAAAGCAACUUAAACCUUCUGUGUGCUCCAUAUCAUGCUGCUCUGCUUAGAAGCCUACGUGCCUUCCCCACUACUCCUAUUUGUAACAUCUGGGCUGAAUCCGGACUUCCUAGUUUAAGUGAGCGGGUGGAAUAUAUGACUGCUGGCCUUAUAUACAAAGUGUUAUCCUGCAGUAAUGAUCACCUUUAUAAAAUCACAAUUAAUGCAGCAAAUAGAAAAUGUUUUCCAAAGAGGCUGUCGGCGUUAUAUCAUGUGGUUGACUUGGCCAGAAAAAUGAAUAUCCAUUUUAAACCUACUCUUCAAACCCACAGUAAGUGUCCACCUUGGCUUCUUUCGAACUCGUCAUUUGUUAAUUGCUUUCAGGAUUAUCGAAAGGAAAAGUCUUGUGGUCUUAUCUGCCAACAGAUUUUCCUUCAGCACAAACGAGAGUUAAAUCAAGAAUCUUUCAAAUUCAUAUUUACCGAUGGCUCCAAAACUAACAUCUCAACCUCUUUCGCGGUUACAUCUGAGGAUCUACUAGUUCUAAAAAAAAGGUUUGCUGCACAAUCACUGCUCAACACUAACUAGUGAAAUCUUUGCUAUAUACCAAGACGCUCUAAUAGCCUCCAAAACGAAAGAUAAAUUUUGCAUUUGUACCGACAGUCAAUCUGCCAUCGAUGCCGUAAGAAAUUUCAACAAUAACAGUGUUGUGGUAACUCAUGUUCGAGAUUUACUUGUCACGCAAACAAACAAAAUUAAAUUGAUGUGGAUACCAGGUCACUGCGGAAUUAAAGGCAAUGAGUUCGCUGAUUGUGUCGCGAAAAGUGUGCAUAAGGAACCGGUUCUGUAUUUUGAUGUUCUGGAAAAAACUGACUUAAAACGUCUAAUAAAGCAGUACCUACAUAACAAGGCUCUAUUGAAAUGGAAUGAGUACUCUCAUCAUUAUGCGACAAUUAAUCCCCUCAGAGUAAAGCCUAUCUAUCCAACGGAAUCUAAACUUGCAGACAUUUUGUUGUUCUCACGACUUCGUUUAGGUUACGCGCAGAUCACUCACAGUUAUUUGUUAAACUCUGGAGAUGCAUCCUGCUGUUUUUGUAGGUCAUCUAGAACAUCAGUAAAGCAUAUCCUAGAUGAAUGCACCCAGUUUACCAAUACCAGGCGAAGGAUUUUUGGCACAGCUCUCCCAUCACAACUUCUAGUAAAUACAACAUUAUCAAAUGUAAAUACUAUAUCUAACUUUCUUGUACUGUGUAACAUAGCUCAUUUAAUUUAGUAUACAUACCUACACUUAGACAUA